rnacentral:rRNA from 1 species
AGUGAACGCUGGCGGUAGGCCUAACACAUGCAAGUCGAACGGCAGCACAGUAAGAGCUUGCUCUUACGGGUGGCGAGUGGCGGACGGGUGAGGCAUACAUCGGAAUCUACUUUUUCGUGGGUGAUAACGUAGGGAAACUUACGCUAAUACCGCAUACGACCUACGGGUGAAAGCAGUGGAUCUUCGGACCUUGCGCGAUUGAAUGAGCCGAUGUCGGAUUAGCUAGUUGGCGGGGUAAAGGCCCACCAAGGCAACGAUCCGUAGCUGGUCUGAGAGGAUGAUCAGCCACACUGGAACUGAGACACGGUCCAGACUCCUACGGGAGGCAGCAGUGGGGAAUAUUCGGCAAUGGGCGCAAGCCUGACCCAGCCAUACCGCGUGGGUGAAGAAGGUCUUCGGGUUGUAAAGCCCUUUUGUCGGGAAAGAAAAGCAGCGGGUUAAUCCCCCGCUGUUCUGACGGUACCCAAAGAAUAAGCACCGGCUAACUUCGUG